rfam:Oryza glaberrima chromosome 12 Oglab12_0011_1, whole genome shotgun sequence.
AAAAAAAGAAAACCUUAGUUUCCAUACCCAAUGUUUGACCGUCCAUCUUAUUUGAAAAAAUUACAAAAAAAAUUAAAAAGACAAGUCACGCAUAAAAUAUUAAUCACGUUUUAUCAUCUAACAACAAUAAAAAUACGAAUUAUCAAAAAAAAUUUCAUAUAAGAUAGACAGUUAAAAUUAGCCACGAAAACCCAGAGUUUAUCUUGUU